AAGUGGCUUUGUAGACCUGGAGAAGCAAGAUGGGUGUGAAACUAGAGGUGUUUCGGGUCAGUGAACACAGAAAUGCGUGCAUUGGGAGGCUGAACAGGGUAUCUUCGUGGAUCUGAGGAAGAGACUGUGAAUAGGGGGGAACUCUAAAGAGAGGGGCGUUCCUGGAAGAGAGCUUUUGAUAUUUGAGAGGGACCUUUACAGUUGGAAACCCGGAGAAGAGGUUUUCCGGUGGGAGGUCUCGGAGUGAGGUUUCAGGGUUUGGGUGCUCAGAGAAGCCUGGACUGAAGAAGGGCCCCUGAGAAGGUGAGCCGACGAGGAGCUCUAAGAAGAAAGGCUUCCGAUCCUGGGGAAGCUCUCCAGUGCAUAGUAUGGCACUGUACCUCACUUUCCCUGUGACUAUGUUCUGGAUUUCCAAUCAGGCUGAGUGGUUUGAGGACUACAUCAUACUGCGCAAGAGGGAGCUGUGGCCACCUGAGAAGGAGGGCCAGGUAAGUGAUAUACUUUUCUUCCCACUAGUGGAAUGGAGGAAGCUGGAUUCCUGUGGUUGCAGGGAAUUUCAAAUGAAACUUUUACCCGUAGCCAUGAAUAGGGAACUGAGAGCAGAGGAGCAUCUGGUUUCCUUACUGCCUUCUCCCUGAAGAAUGAAGCUGAUCCUGGUUGUAAUUAGCAUAGGGUUUCAAGUGUAGACACAACUCAGAAGCUGUGUUCUUGGGAGUAAAGGCCAGGGUGAUGGGAGAGGGGUCCAGUCCCUGAGGUGUGUACCCCCUCCUUCCUUCCUUUCCCACCUGCUUCCUCGCUACCAGCACCAAGAGAUAGAAGAAUUCAAAGAAAGGAUACGGAAGCAGCAGAAGGAGAAGCUCCUUCACGCUGCCCAGCAGAACUCCUGAGCCCUCCAAGUGCUUGAGACCUAGCUCCCUCCCCAUGAAAUAACACAUACUCAUAAUUUCUUUUUA